GGCGGACGGGUGAGUAACGCGUGGGUAACCUGCCUCAUACAGGGGGAUAACAGUCGGAAACGAUUGCUAAAACCGCAUAAUAUAGCGAAACCGCAUGAUUUUGCUAUCAAAUAUUUAUAGGUAUGAGAUGGGCCCGCGUCUGAUUAGCUAGUUGGUGGGGUAAUGGCCGUACCAAGGCGACGAUCAGUAGCCGGCUUGAGAGAGUGACCGGCCACAUUGGGACUGAGACACGGCCCAAACUCCUACGGGAGGCAGCAGUGGGGAAUAUUGGACAAUGGGGGAAACCCUGAUCCAGCGAACCGCCGCGUGAGUGAAGAAGUAUUUCGGUAUGUAAAGCUCUAUCAGCAGGGAAGAUAAUGGCAGUACCUGACUAAGAAGCCCCGGCUAACUACGUGCCAGCCGCAGC
rnacentral:rRNA from 1 species